UAGGUUAUGCAGUGAUGGUUUUCCUGUCUUGGAGGAGAACGUGGGCCGCUCUGCGGGAAUGUAGAUGAGCUGCCUCUUGCAGCCUUUGUGCCUCGCCUGUACAAUGAGGACUGGGGUGAGGCAGGAGGAUAGAGGCGCUGCUGCCGGAGGACUGCCAAAGGGAGCAUCUCUCCGCUUGAGGCUGACUGCGGCUGUCUGCGGGUGACGCCCUCGCCUUGGUGAGCUGCUCGAGCUGCGACUGCAGCAGAACUGGGGAAGGGCAGCUUUGAUCAAGAGCGCUGGCUGGAAGGUGCUGUGCUCCGAGCCAGGCAACAGUCCUUUCAGGUGCAGUCUGCAGAAUUGAUCCACGUGGCUUGUCCCUGCCUCGGAAAGCUGGCAAGAGUCUGGCAGGGAGCCCAGCAUCACCCGUGAUAUUGGAGCUCCAGUUAAAACAAAAAAUGUGCACCCUGGCCUCGUGCAUGCCUUUUCUCCCUGGCUGGUGGGUUUCCGAGCUCGUGACUUGCUGCGUAUGGCGCUCGCUACCUGUCUGCUGUCCACAAGUCCGAGUCUGUUUUCGGAGAGCAGCUACCCGUGGUGGCCUCCAGUUGAGAGCACACCAGCUCCUCAAGCUUGCYGGCUUCACGCGCUGGGAGGUGUCACCUCGUGCUUGGUCACAGAGCUGUUCCCACCUGCGUUGGAGACCGCUUCCCUCCCAGCUGCAGAACAUCUCAGCCUUCCUCCCUGCAUCUUCCUGGGGUCGUCCUGAACUCUUCGAGUUACAAACAGCGCUAGUCGCUGGGUGCAGGUCACCUGUGCCCGGUUUCGCACUGGCAAGGGCCCGGCUCCUUGCGGAGGGCAGCCGGCCGGCGGCGCUUCCUCUGCCAAGAGCUGCGGGAGCCGCAGGAGAGGCGCUCCCGGCCGUCGUCCCCAUGCUGCUUGUGGCAUGGGACUGGCCGUCCCCGGGGCUUGGCAAGGAGCAGCUUCCAAGGAGAGGUGACGCGGAGGUUUCCUCCGUGGCGGAGCGGCUCAGCGCGGCUCCGGGUCUGCAUCGGUGCCCGGAGGAGGCUGCGGGCGGCUGCUGGGCAAAGGCAGCCCGGGACCACGAGAGCGCCGGUGCAGCGCCGUGCACCCUGGCGUGCUGCCUCGCUGCUUCGCCCUCAUCCCACCCCAUCGCUCUCUGCUUCCCAGUCUCCGCUGGCCAUGCGCCCCGCCGUGCCCUGCUGCCCUCGUGCAAGCCCUUGCCGAGACCCGCGCUCAUCCACCUGCACCUGGAUUCCCGGAUUCCCCCGCGCUUGCUCCCGAGGGAUCCGGGAAGUUGGGAGCAACGGGGCCGGCUCUGCAGGCGGGUGGCCCAUGGGUUAGCGGUGCUCGCCUGGCCCUGGCGCUCCUGUGCCGGCGCUGCUGGGAGCGUGGGAAGGAGCUGGGAAUGCAAAGCAGUGCUUAGACGUACGGUGAAAAAUGGCCCGAUUCCUGUUUCCCUGGGCUGACUUAAAUAAAAUGCAAUGAAGCAGCGCGGAGCGCGCCUUU
rnacentral:lncRNA from 1 species